AAGAGAUCAGUUAGCGGACCCAGACAUCCAGGAGUUAUCGGCGACCAAGGGUCAAUAUCUAUAUUAAGAUAAGUCGAACGCUUGAUCGACGUUGGUUGCUGACGAUUGUUCUUGAUUCGCCAUCGUUGAAGCUUUCCCUCUCCACGCAAAUCGCCGAAACGAGAUCUGAAUCUCGUUCGAAAUACAAACCGGCAGCGAAUAACGUAGAAUCACGUACGAAUGAGGAUGCAGAAGAUGUCUAUAAUUGGAUUAGAAGAAGACAUUCCACUAUUCUCUAACUCUGCUUCAGAAAGCGAGCGCCAGUUUCUUGGAGUUAUGAGAUGCAUUUUACAUUGUAAAUAAAGUUAAAAUAAAAAAAACAUGGUAAGUAGAACUUUUGAAUCUCUUUUGAGUGCGUGUAAAUGUGUG